UACGAGGGGGGCAAGCGUUGUUCGGAAUUAUUGGGCGUAAAGGGUGCGUAGGCGGUUUGGUAAGUCUUAUGUGAAAUCUACAGGCUCAACUUGUAGUCUGCAUGAGAAACUGCCGGGCUUGAGUAUGGAAGAGGAGAGUGGAAUUCCUGGUGUAGCGGUGAAAUGCGCAGAUAUCAGGAAGAACACCCGUGGCGAAGGCGGCUCUCUGGGACGGUACUGACGCUGAGACGCGAAAGCGUGGGGAGCGAACAGG
rnacentral:rRNA from 1 species